rnacentral:ribozyme from 1 species
UGCCCAGCAACUCCUAUCCCUACCUCCUCGCGGUGCUAGUCAGGGCACGAGCAACCUUAGGGAAGAUCGGGUAAUCAGCAGUGGGAACUCUGAUCGUAUGCUGACAGGGAAGG